GAUGAACGCUAGCGGCAGGCCUAACACAUGCAAGUCGAGGGGCAGCACAGAAACAGCAAUGGUUUGGUGGCGACCGGCGGACGGGUGCGUAACGCGUAUGCAACCUACCUUUAACAGGGGGAUAACGGAGAGAAGUUUCCACUAAUACCCCAUAACAGCGAUCAAGGCAUCUUGAUUGGUUGAAAACUCCGGUGGUUAACGAUGGGCAUGCGUUGUAUUAGGUAGUUGGUGAGGUAAUGGCUCACCAAGCCUACGAUACAUAGGGGGACUGAGAGGUUAGCCCCCCACACUGGUACUGAGACACGGACCAGACUCCUACGGGAGGCAGCAGUGAGGAAUAUUGGUCAAUGGGGGCAACCCUGAACCAGCCAUGCCGCGUGCAGGAAGACGGCUCUAUGAGUUGUAAACUGCUUUUAAACAGGGAUGAAGCACAGUAUGUAUACUGUGUUGAAGGUACUGUAAGAAUAAGGAUCGGCUAACUCCGUGCCAGCCGCCGCAGUAA
rnacentral:rRNA from 1 species